UAUUGGUCAAUGGCCUAACGGCUGAACCAGCAACUUGGAGGAAUGUAUAAAGAAAUUUACUCAUAUUAGCAAUAAGUAUGAGAUAACUAAGUUAAUUAAAAUUCUAUAUAAAUACUGAUUAUGACUAUAUUUAGAUAUGUCUUGACCAAAACACGUGCCAGCAGUCGCGGUAAGACGUGAAAGACAAGUGUUAUUCAUGUUUAACAGGUUUAAAGGGUACCUAGACGGUUAAUUAAACACUCCUAUGUAUUAAUUAACUAGAGUUUGAUGUGAGAAGGAUUGAGUACGGUAGUGGAGAGAUAAAAUUUUAUGAUACUGCUAUGGAACUGGUAAAGGCGAAGGCAACCUUCUAUGUAAAAACUGACGUUGAAGGACGAAG
rnacentral:rRNA from 1 species